rnacentral:rRNA from 1 species
ACGGAAGGCAGCAGUGAGGAAUAUUGGUCAAUGGAGGCAACUCUGAACUAGCCAUCUCGCGUGAAGGAAUACGGCCCUACGGGUCUUAAACUUCUUUUAUAGGGGGAUAAAGUGAGCCACGAGUGGCUUUUUGUAGGUACCCUAUGAAUAAGCAUCGGCUAACUCCGUGCCAGCAGCCGCGGUAAUACGGAGAAUGCGAGCGUUAUCCGGAUUUAUUGGGUUUAAAGGGUGCGCAGGCGGCACGUUAAGUCAGCGGUGAAAUGUCGGGGCUCAACCCGGGCACUGCCGUUGAAACUGGCGAGCUCGAGUACGGAUGAAGUCGGCGGAAUGUGAUGUGUAGCGGUGAAAUGCUUAGAUAUGUCACAGAACACCGAUUGCGAAGGCAGCUGACUAAUCCGCAACUGACGCUCAGGCACGAAAGCGUGGGGAUCGAACAGGAUUAGAUACCCUGGUA